rnacentral:lncRNA from 1 species
UCAGACUCCUCCGCGCUCUUGGCGCCCCCGCUCUCCACCCGGCGCAGAUGAAGGCCCCCGCCGCGGCCGCCGCGCUGAGAAGGCAGCGAGCCACUCCCGCCGCCUCCGACGCUCCCGCUGCAGCUGCCGCCGCCCCGCGCCGGAGAGCCGCUGUCGGAACCCGAAGCCCCGGAUUCCUCGUCCUCCGUGUCCUGGGAAGCGCGCUGCCGCCGCCGGUCCGCCAUCUUACGGAGAACGGCCACCGCUGGUCAGCUCCUUACGCACCACGCCCGUCGCGGAGGCUGCCGGGAAGCUCGAGACUCCGGAGUCCCGGCGUGCUUCACGUCCAGAGAGGGCCGCCCUUCUUUCCGCGGGGCGGGGCCUGCGCCCUGCGGCACGUUUUCUGGAGAGCGAGAUGACGUCUGUCGGUGAUGGUGGUUUCCCUGCAACAGUUGAUGGCCAAGGAUAUCAAACCUUAAACUCAGAACAUGGCAGGUUCAUAGCCCUGGAGCAGCUUGUGCCUUUCCUUCUCGUUAUCCCUCUUCACCAGCUGCAUCCGCCUUUCCAUACGUUCAAUCCGAGCAAGGAGCUAGAGGGAAGUGACAAGGUGCAGACUUACACACCAAAGUUAAACACCGGUACUUAGCCCCAUUUAGGAAUCAGCGAUCUUCUGCAUGCCACUAUGGUCCCUACCAAUUCAACUUUUACUCUGAAUUGGCAGGCACGAAUCUGAAUGGCUUCCCUUAAACGCAAUAAAGGCAAAAGACAAUUAAUUGUAGGAGUUAGUCUGGAUGGCAAGAGGCUGGGGCAACCUGAAGUUCUUUCUUUGAAGGGGAGACCCUUCCCACUGGGCAGGAUCGGAGUACCUUUUAAUGGCAAGGCCUCUGCCACUUGGCUCCAAGUCUUUUGGGACCCCCUCAAUUGAACCUUGUUUCAGUUCGUCGUCGUUGUACGCGGUGCUAGGGAUGGAAUCAGGGCCUCCUGACUGUGCUUGGCAAACACUCUAAGCACCACCACCACUGAGCUACAUUCUCAGCCCUGUGUUCUUUUAAGGUGUCCUACGGUUGUCCAAAUUCUAUCUGCUCUAUGUUCACUCCAAAACUCUAGACAGAGUGGAAUGUUUAAACAGCACAAUGCAGAAGAAUCAAGGGCUCACAGAGCGUCCCUAGGGAUAGCAGUAUCACAUCAAAAUGUUAUGUGUACGUAUUUGAGGGAGUACUUCUAAAACAUACUACACUGGAAAGAAUUAUAAUCGACGCCAGUAAUAUAAUCCCAACACACAUGACAUAUAUAUUCUGCUUUGUGUUGGAGAUAACAGGAAACUAUUAUCUAAAUAUUUAUCAAAAUUACAUUCUAAUUGAAGAGAACC